UCCCCCUCGUUUUUAGUAUCGGAUAUAAAAAUUGAAUUUUGAAGAUUGUGAAAAUAAAAUUUACUUUCCUUUAUUUAACAAAUUUCAGAUUUAAAGUUGGUUUCGUCUCGAUAAAAGUUAAAUUUUGAUAAAAGUGAAGCAGAAAAAUAAAAUGGUCAAAUAUAAGGUGAGGUGGAGUUCACUUAUGAAAAGCUGCUCAGUAUUUACAUUGAGAAUAAUCGAAGCGCCGCAGCACUUUCGAGAUGGAUUUUCGAAGAACUGAAGGCAUACUAAAUAAGCACGGAGAAAAAGGAUGAAAUAAAUAAUAAAGUAAGGAGCUUUUAUCUACACAUCCUAAAGUAUUUGGCAAAAUGCGGGAGAAACAUGUCUAAAUUUAAGAAAAAGCAUAACUCAUGGCUUUUGUCCAAGAUGGUUAUCAAAGUUGAAAGAACGUCGUCAUCGAGUUCCAUGACUUCAACAUCAAGAUCAGUUGGACGCCCACCAAUUGAAUAUAUAAAUGCUGGACCCCGUUUGAAGAGAAAAUUGACAUCAGAUUUAGCUGGCGAUCAAGGUCACAACACAUCUUUUCUUGUGCAUGCUGCUGCUCUUUCGGCUGAAAAAUCCAACGAAAAAGACACCGCUCAAUUGUUGAAAGACUCAUUUCUUACUCCGAGAAACCCCAAUACGGUAAAGGAAAAUCUUUUUACCGCAAUAGCAAAUCGUGUGCUCUCAUUCCAGCUUACAACAAAGUAAGACAAGCUACGAAGAUGCAGCCGAGGAAAGCAGCACCCGAAGCCAGAGUCGAGAGAAGGGCUCAUGGAAACUAUCAAACAAUAGACAAAUCAGUUCCGUUUGAGACAAGCAGACGUAAAGUUAAGUCGGGGAAUUGAACCUAAUCU